rnacentral:rRNA from 1 species
GACGAACGCUGGCGGCAGGCCUAACACAUGCAAGUCGAGCGAGCGGCGGACGGGUGAGUAAUGUAUGGGGACUGCCCGAUAGAGGGGGAUAACUACUGGAAACGGUAGCUAAUACCGCAUACUAUCGGAUAACCCAUAUGGGAUUAGCUAGUAGGUGAGGUAAUGGCUCACCUAGGCGACGAUCCCUAGCUGGUCUGAGAGGAUGAUCAGCCACACUGGGACUGAGACGGGGCCCAGGCUCGUAGGGAGGCAGCAGGGGGGAAUAUUGCACAAUGGGCGAAAGCCUGAUGCAGCCAUGCCGCGUGUAUGAAGAAGCCCCUAGGGUUGUAAAGUAGUUUCAGGCGGGAGGCGUUACCGACAGAAGAAGCACCGGCUAACUCCGUGCCAGCAGCCGCGUUAUAC